GGGUGAUGAGGUGCUUUUUGUAGAACGAGCCAACGAGUUACGGUAUGUAGCAAGGUUAAGUACUUAAGGUACGGAGCCGAAGGGAAACCGAGUCUGAAUAGGGCGACUAGUUGCAUGCCGUAGACCCGAAACCGGGUGACCUAUCCAUGGCCAGGUUGAAGCGAGGGUAAAACCUCGUGGAGGACCGAACCACGUUGCUGUUGAAAAAGCAUGGGAUGAGCUGUGGAUAGCGGAGAAAUUCCAAUCGAACCCGGAGAUAGCUGGUUCUCUCCGAAAUAGCUUUAGGGCUAGCGUCGAGUAUGAGUAGUGGAGGUAGAGCACUGAAUGGGCUAGGGGGCAUAGCGCUUACCGAACCUUAUCAAACUCCGAAUGCCACAUACUUUGAGCUCGGCAGUCAGACUACGAAUGAUAAGAUCCGUGGUCAAAAGGGAAACAGCCCAGAUCGUCAGCUAAGGUCCCAAAGUGUAAGUUAAGUGGGAAAGGAUGUGAGAUUUCUAAGACAACUAGGAUGUUGGCUUAGAAGCAGCCAUUCAUUAAAAGAGUGCGUAAUAGCUCACUAGUCGAGAGAUCUUGCGCCGAAAAUGUAACGGGGCUAAACUUACCA
rnacentral:rRNA from 1 species